rnacentral:tRNA from 1 species
GGAGGAGUGCCAGAGCCUGGUUGAAUGGGGCGGUCUCGAAAACCGCUUGGGUCCUUGUGGCCCACGUAGGUUCGAAUCCUACCUCCUCCG